rnacentral:lncRNA from 1 species
GUGUGACUAAUGACUACAAACCAAAUCACCCACUCGGCUUGUACAGAGACUCGGCAAAACAGAAACAGCUUGAAAGAUUAGUAUUCAGAGAAAUCUAAACUAAAACAAAACAAACUUGAAUCCAACAGUAGAUUAGGAAAGCAAUCGGCAAAAUCAACAUUCCAAAUAACAUCACCACUUUGCUCAAAACUCUGUACUAAACUCAGACUAGAAUCGACUAUGAAAUCAACUCGGACAACUCAGUAAAAACAGAACACAAGCUCGGAUUAAGCACUUGACUCAGAAAGAAAAACUCGGAAUAAACUAGGCUUGCGACUCAGCUACUGGCUAAGAACAGACUCAACAAAGCAGAGGAGACUCGACCCACAAACUCGACGCAGCCAAAACAGCCGAUCCAAACUAAGCUUGCAAGAAACGAACUCAGCUUUGGACUCGGGAAGAAACAUGGGACUCGAUUCUGCCUCCGCAAACAAACUGAAACGCCUAGAACAAAAGCCAUGACUCGAUUACUCCGAACCCAGGAAAAGAAAGACAACAGAAACAAAUGCAUCACAAUGAACAAACCCAGAACACGACUAAACAUAAACUCAGCAGAAAUCGACUUAACUAAAUUGGACACAAACGCAGCAAAACUACUGGACUCGGUGGUUCAUUGACUCGCCCCAGAAAACAGCGACAACAACUCGGCAAAGGAAGAAACAAAGACUCUGCUCCGUAAUGACACAACUAAACCGAAAUAUGCAACAAGAGAUACACAAACUCAGCAUCACAGGCCUACGACUCAGCUUACGCACUAAACAAGAAAGACUCGAAACAACACCAACAAUAUCAAACCCAACGGCUAAUACUAUACUCGCUACUCAGCUUCCACAACUCGGUAAUACAAACCCAACAAACUCGAUCACAAGCAAUGAUUGUAUUUAACUAAACAGAACCCAAAUCUCGACUAAACAAAACCAUGGCCAGUGACUUGGGCGGAAACACAUCAGAACAGGGGAUGGGUUUACAGCAAUUAAACAACCAAAUUAACAAAAACAGAUGUGACUCGUAAGAAAACAAAGUAAACCAAGAAGAAACUAAGAAAAAGAAAUGGUGUUUUAACGCUUUAAACUUGAAAUAAACAGGGGAGGUUUUUUGUUAAAACGAAAAGUAAAACAGGGGAAGAGGGU